rnacentral:rRNA from 1 species
AGCGAACGCUGGCGGCAGGCCUAACACAUGCAAGUCGAACGAACUCUUCGGAGUUAGUGGCGGACGGGUGAGUAACACGUGGGAACGUGCCUUUUGGUUCGGAAUAACUCAGGGAAACUUGUGCUAAUACCGAAUGUGCCCUUCGGGGGAAAGAUUUAUCGCCAUUAGAGCGGCCCGCGUCUGAUUAGCUAGUUGGUGAGGUAACGGCUCACCAAGGCGACGAUCAGUAGCUGGUCUGAGAGGAUGACCAGCCACACUGGGACUGAGACACGGCCCAGACUCCUACGGGAGGCAGCAGUGCUGAAUCUUGCGCCAUGGGCGAAAUCCUGACGCAGCCAUGCCGCGUGAAUGAUGAAGGUCUUAGGAUUGUAAAAUUCUUUCACCGGGGACGAUAAUGACGGUACCCGGAGAAGAAGCCCCGGCUAACUUCGUG